rnacentral:lncRNA from 1 species
UUUUUUUUUUUUUUUUUUUCUCUCCUGCUUUUUUUUUAAGGGCCGCACCUGCGCGACAUAUGGACGUUCCCAGGCUAGGGGUCAAAUUGGAGCUACAGGUGCUGGCCUAAGCCACGGCCACAGCAACGCAGGAUCUGAGCCACAUCUGUGACCUACACCACAGCUCACAGCAACGCCGGAUCCUUAACCCACUGAGUGAGGUCAGGGGUCAUGGAUCCUAGUUAGGUUUAUUAACCGCUGAGCCAUGAGGAGAACUCCCCGUGAUCUCCCUUCCCUGCUGGGGAGUUAAUACCAUUUCAACUGCAAAUACAGUGACAGUGCAUGGAGAGGUGAGAUUAUCUCAGAAAAAAAAAUUACGAAAUGUUGAAAUUGCUGAAAUCAAUCAUUAUUUAGUUAUUUAAAGAAGGUUAGGCUCUCAGUGAAGUUUGAAGGGACGCAGAAGUCUAAGAAGUGAGGAAAUGAAGCUGAGCUGGUAGUGACGAAGGCUCUCAAAAUUGUGAUUUAUUAUUGAUUUAUAUCUUCUUAUUUUAGUUUAAGGGGAAAUGUAAAGAGAGCAGACAGCUUUGCCAGAACACUAAAAACAAACAGGGCAUCUGUGGCCUCCUAUUUAUCCCCUCCUUAGCAAACACUCAUUAGGUGCCUUCCCCAUUCAAGGCACCAAUCUGGCUGCACAGGACACAUCGAGAUCCAAAGAGUCAAGACCCCUCUGCCCUUAUGACGCAGUCAUUCCAGUCAAAGGAGAUGGAAAGUAAACAUUAAUGACAACACAGUCAAUUACAUAAUACUUUUAUGUGUUAUGAGUAUUAAUCAAAAUUUUAGAAACGAAGACCUGAUGAACUAAAGCAGCAUGUAUCUGGGGAUUGUUGGGACUACAGCCUUCGAGACACAGAUUCAUUCCAGAAGCACCUGAAAUGUGUUCACCUGGACUACAAAAUGGAGCAAGCUGUGGCUUCUGGGUACUGUAGUUCCCACAUGAAGCAUACAGGUCUUCAAAAUGUGAUUCCUUCACAGGCCUGAAAACAUUGCCAACUAACUGCUUGGCAGGAGAGGUGAGGACAAAAAUUCAGAUUUGCUAGAAAGUUGAAAACGAAUAAGGAAGCUAUGCUGUGGUGUGUGUUCACUGCCCUGACAAAUGUACCAUGAGCACCUACUGGCUUUCAGUCACAAUGGUAGGUGCACGGAACAGAUUAGGAGUAGGCUUGACAGCCGUUCUGUAUACACGGCACACGUCAUGUAUUUCAAGAUUUUUUCCCUGGGUCCUGCAUUGACUUUGUCAGCACAAUGAAAACAUCCUAUUCGCAGCUUUUUGUAAUGCUUUCCAAAAACUUGGCAGUUAGAUUUGGCCAGUGCCUCAUGGUUUCCCUCCGGCUUGGCUAAGGGAAAACCAAAACAGGACACUGAGAAUUAAAGGUCUUAUUCUUCAUACUCAGGAAAGGGAAAAGAUUUUUCACUUGGCCACAAUCCAAAGUUGUGAACAAAUAACCAUUGUUUAGAAGAGAUAAUUUCUGAUCAGUACAUGUGUUCUGAAAUUCAUCAAGUCAAUGGGAGCCUCAACAGAGAAACUAAGCUUCUAGAAGUUAGCAAAUCAUUGAUAGGAACAAGCUUUUGAAAUUCGACCAAACAGUAAUAGACUAUUGCACCCCACCAGGUCCUGAAAGACAUCCAGUCAGUGACAGCCCUAGGCCCCUAUGCAAUGGUCAAUCAGCAAGAGCCUCACUCGACCACACAGCUUCUGAACGACAACGGGUCAACAGUACUAAACACACUAAUACAGAUGAAAGCCUAGAAAUCCUUCAAUCUGUGCCUCUCCCCGCCCCGGGAUCUUGGAUGAUCCUUACUCUGGUUACUCUGACUUUUCAUGUAGCUUGCCUAUCUCCACUUCACUUACUUGUUCUUCUGGAGUUUUCUUUUGUUCCACUGUCUGGAACAUAUCACUGUGCUGUUUCAUUUUGUCUGGCUUUGUGUAUCUGUGGUCUCCCUUCUGUGGGCUGCAGGACUGUAGCCCCUCUUGCUUCUGGUGUCUGCCCCAUGGCGGUUGAAGUUGAUCCAGGGUUAGCACAGCCUUCCUGGUGGGAGGCACUAGUGCCUGCCCCCUGGUGGGUGGAGCAGCUCUUGUCCCUCCGGUGGGCAGGGGAGGGGUGUCAUUAGAGGGGGUUGUGUACCUAGGAUGACUUUAGGCAGACUGUCUGCUGAUAGGUGGGUCUGUGUUCCCACCCUGUUGGGUUAGUCAAUCCUCAACUCUCCCCCUUGGUCUCCACAAUUGCUCUGGGAAAACCCCAAUCAAGGAUCUGACCUAGGCCUCCCCUUGAUCAAAUCUGGUAUUCCUAACAUGGCCCUGUGGGACACGGUGUUCACUGCACACCAGGGAAAUAUAAAUAAUGAAAAUCCCUCUCAGAGUUCCCGUCAUGGCACAGCAGAAACGAAUCUGACUAGGAACCCUGAGGUUUCGGAUUCGAUCCCUGGCCUCACGCAGUGGGUUAAGGAUCCGGUGUUACCAUGAGCUCUGGUGUAGGUCGCAGACGUGGCUCGGAUCCCUCAUUGCUGUGGCUCUGGUGUAGGCCAGCGGCUACAGCUCCGAUUAGACCCCAGCCUAGGAACCUCCAUGUGCCACAGGUGCGGCCCUAAAAAAAGACAAAAAAGACAAGAAACAAAUUAAAAAAAAAAAAAGAAAACAUCUUUCAACGAUAUUGGCCUCUCCAUGUUGUCAUUUACUCAUGUAUAUGUCCAUAAAUGAAAAUCUGGCAGGUACAAUGGUUGUAUAACUUUCUCCCACACAUCCGGGCCUCCUCCCCCCAGCUUCCCCAUCAGGAAGAGUUACCAGGUCCUGGUGGCAACGGUGCCUGUUCUCUCACUGCCACUGAUCACUGGGUCUGGUAUCCAGAGUUUACAAAGGCAAAGGAGGGGGCAGAAAAGCACCACCCAGGCUCUGGCCUGAGACGUGGACUCCACCCCUCUUCUGUCAGGUGACUUCCCAGAGAUCCCCAGAAGGUACCUCCCAGACAAGCAGACUCAGUCACUUCAUUCCACAGUAAGUGCCACAGGCCGGGGUCAACCACGCUCACCCCUCACCUGCACAUCACUCUGUGGACCCAUUUCCUUCAUGACUCUGGCCAAACUCCCAGACCACAGCAGUGCAUUUCUCCACCCUGCACGUGGAACCCAGGCAGUGCACAGCAAAUGCAUCCAGCAUCUUAAUCCGUCCCAGGCCUGCCCCAAAACACCAAAGUGUCCUGGUGCCAGAGGGCACCAAGCCCUCACCUGAAGGUCUUCCCUCUGGCCCUGUUUCUUGCUUUAAAACUCAGCCACAGGAGUUCCCAUCGUGGCUCAGCAGUUGACAAACCCGACUAGCAUCCAUGAGGACGAGGGUCCGAUCCCUGGCCUCACUCAGUGGGUCCUUGCUCAGGACCCGGUGUCACCAUGAGUGGUGGUGUAGGUCGCAGACGCAGCUGGGAUCCCGUUUUCUGUGGCUGUGGUGUAGGCCGGUGGCUACAGUUCCGAUUAGAUCCCUAGCCUGGGAACCUCCAUAUGCCGUGGGUGUGGCCUUAAAAAGACAAAAAGACCAAAAAAAACCACCUGAGCCACAGAAACCUCUGUGAGGACCUCAAGGUUCUUGGCACUCUGCCAUUGCUGCCCUUCUCCACAGGCCGCCUCAGCAGCAGGCUUGACUGUCUCUCUCCAAUGAACCCUCAUUCACAACUGCAGACUAUGAAACUGUUCCUGUGGUGGCUCAGCCGUAAGGAACCCAACUAGUAUCCAUGGGGACACAGGUUCCAUCCCUGGCCUCCCUCAGUAGGUUAAGGAUCCGGGGUUGCCAUGAGCUGUGGUGUAGGUUGCAGAUACAGCUGGGAUCUGGUUUUGCUCUGGUGUAGGCCAGCGGAUACAGCUCCAAUGUGACCCCUAGCCUGGGAACUUCCAUGUGCCCUAAAAAGACAAAAAACAAAAACCCUGCCGACUAGCUCUCCUGUGGCCCAGCGGGUUAAGGAUCUAGCAUGGUCAAGGCAGUGACUCGGGUCUCUGCUGUGUCGAGCAUUCAAUCCUUGGCCCCGGAACUUCUUCAUGCUGAAGGUGCAGCCAAAAAAAAUAAAAAGAAGAAGACAAAACUGCAGACGAGCAACCCCCGUAGAUGAUCCCAUUUCCCCCGUACCUAAUCUGCCAGUCCGAGUGCAUCCGUCCAGGUAAGGGUCACUCUGAAAGCUUGCUGAGUCCACAGAGGGGUGAUAAACACUGCCUUGACCUCACUGACACCUACCCUUCUUCCUGACAUAACUCAGCAUCCACCUCAUGCCCACCGUCCCCUAAGAUGGCCCCCUGACCUUGUAACACCCCCCCACACAGGCACCCCACUGCCCCCAGCCACUCUGGCUCCUCCCUGCUGUGUGUGAUGUCCCGCACGACCGCUCAGGGGCCCACCUGAGACAAAGAUUCGGCCCCAUCCUCCCGUCCCUUGUUCCUAAGGGCACUAUCACCACAAAUGAUGCCCCCUCUGAAAUCUGACCCACAGUUCUAUAGGGGUCCACAAACUGGCUGCUCUAUCGUGGCUGUCUGCAACCUGAAUGCCUCCACUCAACUCCAGAUCCGCCAGCCCACAGCUCACCAGGCGUGUCCACUUGGAGUCUCUGGAACACCAGAGGGGCAAAAACUGGAUUCCUCAUAAUCCCUCUGAAACCUCCUUCCACGGCUGAUCUUCCACAUCCUAAUUCAUGGAACAUUCAUCCAUUCUUCCCAACAAGGCCAAAACCUUGAGGCUGUCCCCAAAUCCCACUUCCAACUCAUCUCUCCGGCUCCUUCGCGCGCCACAUCAGAAAGCGUGCCUGCUUUUUUUUUUUUUUUUUUUUUUUUUUUUUAGGGCUGUACUCACCAUGUGUGGAGUUUCCCAGGCUGCGGGUCUGGUCGAGCUGCAGCUGCCGGCCUGCACCACAGCCUCAGCAACUUGGGAUCCUAGCCGCACCUACCCCACAACUCAUGGCAAUGCUGGAUCCUUGGCCCACUGGGCAAGGCCAUGGGUUAAGGAUCUGGCAUUGCCAUGAGCUGUGGUGUAGGUCGCCAGCUACAGCUCGGAUUAAACCGCUACCUUGGGAACCUCCAUAUGCCACAGGUACAGCCCUAAAAAAGACAAAAAACAAAACAAAACAAAAAACAUUUUCCUUACUAGAUUACUGGUAGGUGAUAAAAGAGCACAACUCAAGAACAGCCAGAUGGAAAAUAUGAACAGGGGCUUCCAGGCAGCAUUACCCUUCCAACACCUCCAUGUCUUCACGACAUGGAAGCUCUCUGAAUCCUAUUUUUUGUGUGGCUUCAUUAUACAGGCAUAAUUGAUUCAAUAAUUGGCUAUUGAAUCCAGAGUCAACCUCGAGGCCCUCUUCUCUCCUUUAAGGGGGGAGAGGUGGGACCGAAUGUGCCAAGCCUCUAGUCAUAUGUUUGGUUUUCUUGGUAACCACCUCCUAUUCUUAGGUGUCUCCAAAAGUCACCUCAUUCACAUGGCAAAGGAUACCACCACUCUCAACACUUAGGAAAUUCCAAGGGUUUUGGGAGCUGUGAGACUGAAACUGUGAACCAAAAACAUAUUCACAUGAAAAAUACAUUUUGGCCACCUGAAUGAACAAACAUAUUCCUUGUAAAUCACAACAUCGCAGCCUCUCUUACCCACUGCAUUUAUAACCUUGCAUAGAUUCCAUCGGCUCAGGAUGACGUUUCAGGGGAGACACCUUCUCCCCAACACAAAACACCCCGGGUUGCCCCAAUGCUGACGACUCCGUAGCACCUGCAGCCGUUCAAAGGCGGCCGCCAGCAAACUCUCGCCCGCACUCCCGCCCACUGGAUGAAAGAGCGACCGCUCCCAGGGCCGCCCUCUGCUCUGGACUCUGGGACUGAGCCGCAGGGAACUGACAGGGCUCCCCUCCGUCCGCAUUUGGUCCUCGGAGGCGAGAGUCACACCGGGUGGGGGCCCGGGAGACGCAGCACCCACCUGAGCCGGGUUCAUCGGCGCGGCCUCGGCCACCGGCCGUGGGAAGAGCGGCGCCGGGAGAGGCGGCGAGCAGGGCGGGAACGAAGGCACCGCCGUCAACUGCGGGCUCAGGGGGCCUCGCAUCCGCUUCUAGACAGCGGGCACCACGCCUCUCCUCCUGCUUUUCCGCUCCGUUACCUCGGUGCCCACCUAGGGGACACCGGCGUGUAGAACGGGAUAACUGCCGGAGAGUAACGGAAAGGCUGCACGGAGCGCCG